rnacentral:rRNA from 1 species
UACGUAGGGUGCGAGCGUUGCCCGGAUUUAUUGGGCGUAAAGGGCGCGUAGGCGGCCACGCACGUCCGUUGUGAAAUCGCCCGGCUCAACUGGGCGGGGUCGGCGGAUACGGCGUGGCUGGAGCAAGCUAGGGGGCAAUGGAAUUCCCGGUGUAGUGGUGGAAUGCGUAGAUAUCGGGUGGAACACCAGUGGCGAAGGCGGUUGCCUGGAGCUUUGCUGACGCUGAGGCGCGAAAGCGUGGGGAGCAAACAGG